CUGAGGAGCGAAAGCAUGGGGAGCGAACAGGAUUAGAUACCCUGGUAGUCCAUGCCGUAAACGUUGGGCACUAGGUGUGGGGGACAUUCCACGUUCUCCGCGCCGUAGCUAACGCAUUAAGUGCCCCGCCUGGGGAGUACGGUCGCAAGGCUAAAACUCAAAGGAAUUGACGGGGGCCCGCACAAGCGGCGGAGCAUGCGGAUUAAUUCGAUGCAACGCGAAGAACCUUACCAAGGCUUGACAUACACUGGACCGUUCUGGAAACAGUUCUUCUCUUUGGAGCUGGUGUACAGGUGGUGCAUGGUUGUCGUCAGCUCGUGUCGUGAGAUGUUGGGUUAAGUCCCGCAACGAGCGCAACCCUCGUUCUAUGUUGCCAGCACGUGAUGGUGGGAACUCAUAGGAGACUGCCGGGGUCAACUCGGAGGAAGGUGGGGAUGACGUCAAAUCAUCAUGCCCUUUAUGUCUUGGGCUUCACGCAUGCUACAAUGGCUGGUACAGAGAGAGGCGAACCCGUGAGGGUAAGCGAAUCCCUUAAAGCCAGUCUCAGUUCGGAUCGUAGUCUGCAAUUCGACUACGUGAAGUCGGAGUCGCUAGUAAUCGCAGAUCAGCAACGCUGCGGUGAAUACGUUCCCGGGCCUUGUACACACCGCCCGUCAAGUCACGAAAGUCGGUAACACCCGAAGCCGGUGUCCCAACCCACUUGUGGGAGGGGGCCGUCUAAGUGAUCUGUUCG
rnacentral:rRNA from 1 species